GUGCGUAACACGUGGGUGACCUGCCCUGGAGUGGGGAAUAACUAUCCUAACGGAUAGCUAAUACCGCAUAUGCUCGGUGGUUCGUUCCGCUGAGUAAAGUCGCAAGACGCUUUGGGAUGGGCCUGCGGCGGAUUAGGUAGUUGGUGGGGUAAUGGCCUACCAAGCCGAUGAUCCGUAGGGGGCGUGAGAGCGUGGCCCCCCACACUGGCACUGAGAUACGGGCCAGACUCCUACGGGAGGCAGCAGUGAGGAAUAUUGCGCAAUGGGCGAAAGCCUGACGCAGCAACGCCGCGUGAGGGACGAAGGCCUUCGGGUCGUAAACCUCUUUUCUGGGGAAAGAGACAGGACGGUACCUCAGGAAUAAGUCUCGGCUAACUACGUGCCAGCAGCCGCGGUAAAACGUAGGAGGCGAGCGUUAUCCGGAUUUACUGGGCGUAAAGAGCACGCAGGCGGCUUCGUUAGUCGGAUGUGAAAGCUCCCGGCUUAACUGGGAGAGGCCAUUCGAUACUACGA
rnacentral:rRNA from 1 species